UCAAGCGACUAAGUGUAUGUGGUGGAUGCCUUGGCGAUUACAGGCGAAGAAGGACGUCGCAGCCUGCGAAAAGCCGUGGGGAGCUGGCAAGCGAGCACUGAUCCACGGAUGUCCGAAUGAGGGAACUCACCCGCAAGGGUAUCUUGAAGUGAAUACAUAGCUUCAAGAGGCGAACGCAGCGAACUGAAACAUCUAAGUAGCUGCAGGAAAAGAAAUCAACCGAGAUUCUGAAAGUAGCGGCGAGCGAAAUUGGAAGAGCCUGCAAGUGAUAUUGAAUUCGAUACUGGAACGGUCUGGAAAGUCCGGCUACAGAGGGUGACAGCCCCGUACGGGAAAUUGGGUUCAAGGUACUGAGCUUGCGAGAAGUAGAGCGGGACACGUGAAAUCCUGCUCGAAGAUGGGGGGACCAUCCUCCAAGGCUAAAUACUCGUAAUCGACCGAUAGCGAACCAGUACUGUGAAGGAAAGGCGAAAAGAACCCCGGGAGGGGAGUGAAAUAGAUCCUGAAACCGCAUACAUACAAACAGUAGGAGCCCGCAAGGGUGACUGCGUACCUUUUGCAUAAUGGGUCAGCGACUUACGUUCAAUGGCAAGCUUAACCGAGUAGGGGAGGCGCAGCGAAAGCGAGUCCGAACAGGGCGAUAUGAGUCGUUGGGCGUAGACCCGAAACCAGAUGAUCUAUCCAUGGCCAGGCUGAAGGUGUGGUAACACACACUGGAGGGCCGAACCGACUAGUGUUGCAAAAUUAGCGGAUGAGCUGUGGAUAGGGGUGAAAGGCUAAACAAAUCUGGAGAUAGCUGGUUCUCCCCGAAAACUAUUGAGGUAGUGCCUCGUGUAUGGCUCCAGGGGGUAGAGCACUGUUAUGGCUAGGGGGACAUGGCGUCUUACCAAACCAUGGCAAACUCCGAAUACUUGGAAGUCUGAGCACGGGAGACAGAGCACCGGGUGCUAACGUCCGGACUCAAAAGGGAAACAACCCAGACCGCCGGCUAAGGUCCCUAAUAUUGACUAAGUGGAAAACGAAGUGGGAAGGCUAAGACAGUCAGGAAGUUGGCUUAGAAGCAGCCAUCCUUCAAAGAAAGCGUAAUAGCUCACUGAUCGAGUCUUCCUGCGCGGAAGAUGUAACGGGGCUAAGUCAAUAACCGAAGCCGCGGAUUCGCAGCAAUGCGAGUGGUAGGGGAGCGUUCUGUAAGCCUGCGAAGGCGGAUCUGCGAGGACCGCUGGAGGUAUCAGAAGUGCGAAUGCUGACAUGAGUAACGUUAAAGCGGGUGAAAAGCCCGCUCGCCGCAAGCCCAAGGUUUCCUGCUCUACGUUCAUCGGAGCAGGGUGAGUCGGCCCCUAAGGUCAGGCUGAGAAGCGUAGCUGAUGGGAAGCUGGUUAAUAUUCCAGCACCGAUUUCAAGUGCGAAGGGGGGACGGAGUCCUGAAGGUCAUCCGGGUGUUGGACAUCCCGGUUUACGAGCGUAGGAGGUUGACAGGCAAAUCCGUCAACGAAUCUCCAAGGCGAAGGAUCGAGGUUGAGAGAUCAACUGAAGUGACUGAAUGGGCUUCCAGGAAAAGCCUCUAAGCAUCAGCUUGGAAUUGACCGUACCGCAAACCGACACUGGUGGGCGAGCUGAAUAUGCUCAGGCGCUUGAGAGAACUCAGGAGAAGGAACUCGGCAAAUUGACACCGUAACUUCGGGAUAAGGUGUGCCUUUGUAGUGUGAAGAGAGAAACACUCCGAGCAUGAAGAGGCCUCAGAGAAUCGGUGGCUGCAACUGUUUACUAAAAACACAGCACUCUGCAAAGAUGAAAGUCGACGUAUAGGGUGUGAUGCCUGCCCGGUGCUGGAAGAUUAAUUGAUGGGGUGCAAGCUCCUGAUCGAAGGUAAACGGCGGCCGUAACUAUAACGGUCCUAAGGUAGCGAAAUUCCUUGUCGGGCAAGUUCCGACC
rnacentral:rRNA from 1 species